rnacentral:rRNA from 1 species
CCUACGGGAGGCAGCAGUGGGGAAUUUUGGACAAUGGGCGCAAGCCUGAUCCAGCAAUGCCGCGUGCAGGAUGAAGGCCUUCGGGUUGUAAACUGCUUUUGUACGGAGCGAAACGGUCAACUUUAAUACAGUGGGCUAAUGACGGUACCGUAAGAAUAAGCACCGGCUAACUACGUGCCAGCAGCCGCGGUAAUACGUAGGGUGCGAGCGUUAAUCGGAAUUACUGGGCGUAAAGCGUGCGCAGGCGGUUAUAUAAGACAGAUGUGAAAUCCCCGGGCUCAACCUGGGACCUGCAUUUGUGACUGUAUAGCUAGAGUACGGUAGAGGGGGAUGGAAUUCCGCGUGUAGCAGCGAAAUGCGUAGAUAUGCGGAGGAACACCGAUGGCGAAGGCAAUCCCCUGGACCUGUACUGACGCUCAUGCACGAAAGCGUGGGGAGCAAACAGGAUUAGAUACCCUGGUAGUCCACGCCCUAAACGAUGUCAACUGGUUGUUGGGUCUUCACUGACUCAGUAACGAAGCUAACGCGUGAAGUUGACCGCCUGGGGAGUACGGCCGCAAGGUUGAAACUCAAAGGAUUGACGGCUGAGAGNGCGAGCGACGACGAGGGAGGAGG